AUUGUAGCGGUUCGUGAGAAUAGCUACAAUAUUUCUUAAUCUAUCUUAAAUUGCUUUAAGUCAUCAGAAAAUGACAAACCUGUGGGGCGUAAGUAAGUAUAUAGAAACUUGGAUUAGUCACCGUUCACGAAGAUGUACUCGUGACGUGCAAAGAGUUGUUACAUCUCUAAAUACUUAUGAUCGUGCGGACGUAAAAAUCAGGU
rnacentral:ribozyme from 1 species